rnacentral:rRNA from 1 species
AUUGAACGCUGGCGGCAUGCCUAACACAUGCAAGUCGAACGAGUGGCGGACGGGUGAGUAAUGUCUGGGAAACUGCCCGCUGGAGGGGGAUAACUACUGGAACCGGUAGCUAAUACCGCAUACCAUCGGAUGUGCCCAUAUGGGAUUAGCUAGUAGGUGGGGUAACGGCUCACCUAGGCGACUAUCCCUAGCUGGUCUGAGAGGAUGACCAGCCACACGGGAACUGAGACACGGGCCAGACUCCUACGUGAGGCAGAAGGGGGGAAUAGUGCACAAGGGGCGCAAGCCUGAUGCAGCCAUGCCGCGUGUAUGAAGAAGGCCUUCGGGUUGUAAAGUACUUGCAGCGAGGAGGCGGUACUCGCAGAAGAAGCACCGGCUAACUCCGUGCCAGCAGCCGCGGUAAUAC